rnacentral:rRNA from 1 species
UCAGGAUGAACGCUAGCGGCAGGCUUAACACAUGCAAGUCGAGGGGCAGCGCGAGUAGCAAUACUUGGCGGCGACCGGCGCAAGGGUGCGUAACGCGUGAGCAACAUGCCCGUAUCAGGGGGAUAAUCCAGGGAAACUUGGUCUAAUACCCAUAGUAAUUUUUGUAAGGCAUCUUAUAAGAUUUUAAAGCUUUGGUGGAUACGGAUUGGCUCGCGUGACAUUAGCUGGAUGGUAAGGUAACGGCUUACCAUGGCUAUGAUGUCUAGGGGUUCUGAGAGGAAGGUCCCCCCACACUGGAACUGAGACACGGUCCAGACUCCUACGGGAGGCAGCAGUGAGGAAUAUUGGACAAUGGAUGGAAAUCUGAUCCAGCCAUGCCGCGUGAAGGAAGAAAGGUCCUAUGGAUUGUAAACUUCUUUUGUAUGGGAGCAAUAAGGCCUACGAGUAGGUUGAUGAGAGUACCAUACGAAUAAGCACCGGCUAACUCCGUGCCAGCAGCUGC